CAGCGCCGGCGACGAGUGAACGCAGUUGUUUGCUUGUCCGUGAUUUGCGAGCUUACUUACGUGAACACCCCAGCCGAGCUUAAGCAACGCGUGGGCUUAAGUCGCACAUUUGUAGCCUACGCACUUUCGAACGUGCUUUGCUCUCCCGCGCAAGAAAAAAAAAUAGAAGCGUCGUAGUUUUCGGCUAAAAUGACGAAUUUCCGCACAUGUUAGCCGACACGAAUGGAAGCGCUAACGAAUGCUAACUAGUGAUUGUCUGCGGCAAGCCGUACGCACGCAGCAAAGGAAGACCGAUUGUUUCGUCGUACCAGUUCGCAGCCUUUGUUUACGCCAAGUUCGGGAGCCAAGAAGAAAAGCUGGAAGAACCGGAACGCGACGCCAGACAAAGGAGCUGACACAACUGCUCUCAGGUUGGCUGGGGAUCCAACGCUGCUACAACAGGCCUGUAGUACAACUUUUCUUGGACCUGCCCAGCUGCUUCCAUCUUCAGUACUAUGCUACUUGCCGAAAGCAUUUUCAUCGCCUCUGCUAACCUGGACAUUUGAACAUCGCGCCAUCUGUUCGCAAGCCGGACCACGUGUGCUGCCAUCGUCGUCGACAAAGCGCAGCUCGUAACUGAGCCGGGGGCGUUUCCUAUCAUAUUGGCUGUGGCGGUGGAGCGCGAGGGACACGGCACUUAUCGCUCUUUCUGUGUUUCUCAGGGACCGGUGAUGCUGUCUGCUGUCCAUUUUCUUGUCUAUCAGGACAGGUAAAUUCCAGUGCAGGAAUGUUUAUACUGCUACGGAAAAUUUCAAUAUUGAAUCUCGCCGCCUGCCCGCUCUUCCUGAAGCCAACGUGGAGCCGGCGUACCGAAGAGCAUCGGCUGAAACGGCGAAUAUUGCCUCCAAAGCUCCGAAAAGACAGAAACGACAGACGAUACGGGAAAGUGAAACAAAAACAGCGCUUUUAUUGCUUUUGGCUCGAAGUACGCCAGUUAAAGGGAUCGUAAAACCUGACGUUUGUGAGAGGGACUCGAAAAAGAGAGAGAGAGAGAUAAAUGAGAUACGAAAGGCAGAGAGGUUAACCAAAAGGUAGAUAUCCAGUUUGCGACCCUGCAAACUCGAAAAGCCUGCGAUAUUGGAUAUCGUUUUAUGAAUAUGCUGCAGCUAUUAAUAGGCUCCAAGAAAGUCUUACACCA